rnacentral:tRNA from 1 species
GGCUUGUUGGUCUAGUGGUACGAUUCCUGUUUCGGGUACAGGAGGUCCCGGGUUCGAACCACGGACAAGCCC